CGGCAAUGGAGGAAACUCUGACCGAGCAACGCCGCGUGAACGAUGAAGUACCUCGGUAUGUAAAGUUCUUUUAUUAAGGAAGAAAAAAGAGUGGAAAAACUCCCUUGACGGUACUUAAUGAAUAAGCCCCGGCUAAUUAUGUGCCAGCAGCCGCGGUAAUACAUAAGGGGCGAGCGUUAUCCGGAAUUAUUGGGCGUAAAGGGUGCGUAGGCGGUUUAAUAAGUCUAUAGUUUAGUUUCAGCGCUUAACGCUGUUGUGCUAUAGAAACUGUUUUACUAGAGUGAGUUAGAGGCAAGCGGAAUUCCAUGUGUAGCGGUAAAAUGCGUAAAUAUAUGGAGGAACACCAGAGGCGUAGGCGGCUUGCUGGGACUUUACUGACGCUGAGGCACGAAAGCGUGGGGAGCAAACAGGAUUAGAUACCCUGGUAGUCCACGCCGUAAACGAUGAGUACUAAGUGUCGGGUAAAACCGGUACUGAAGUUAACACAUUAAGUACUCCGCCUGAGUAGUACGUACGCAAGUAUGAAACUUAAAGGAAUUGACGGGACUCCGCACAAGCGGUGGAUCAUGUUGUUUAAUUCGAAGAUACACGAAAAACCUUACCAGGUCUUGACAUUUUCUUGCGAAGUUAUAGAAAUAUAAUGGAGGUUAUCAAGAAAACAGGUGGUGCAUGGUUGUCGUCAGCUCGUGUCGUGAGGUGUUAGGUUAAGUCCUAAAACGAGCGCAACUCUUGUCGUUAUUGCCAGCAUGUAUGAUGGGGACUUUACGAGACUGCCAUGAAAAAUUGGAGGAAGGUGGGGAUUACGUCAAAUCAUCAUGCCCCUUAUGAUCUGGGCUACAAACGUGAUACAAUGGUUGUUACAAAGAGUAGCUGAA
rnacentral:rRNA from 1 species